rnacentral:rRNA from 1 species
AUUGAACGCUGGCGGCAGGCCUAACACAUGCAAGUCGAGCGGUAACAUUUCCAGCUUGCUGGAAGAUGACGAGCGGCGGACGGGUGAGUAAUACUUGGGGAUCUGCCUGAUGGCGGGGGACAACCACUGGAAACGGUGGCUAAUACCGCAUAAUACCUACGGGUCAAAGUGUGGGACCUUCGGGCCACACGCCAUCAGAUGAACCCAAGCGAGAUUAGCUAGUUGGUGAGGUAACGGCUCACCAAGGCGACGAUCUCUAGCUGUUCUGAGAGGAUGAUCAGCCACACUGGGACUGAGACACGGCCCAGACUCCUACGGGAGGCAGCAGUGGGGAAUAUUGGACAAUGGGCGCAAGCCUGAUCCAGCCAUGCCGCGUGUGUGAAGAAGGCCUUCGGGUUGUAAAGCACUUUCAGUGGUGAGGAAGGCGUUGUAGUUAAUAGCUGCAACGAUUGACGUUAGCCACAGAAGAAGCACCGGCUAACUCCGUGCCAGCAGCCGCGGUAAUACGGAGGGUGCGAGCGUUAAUCGGAAUUACUGGGCGUAAAGCGCACGUAGGCGGCUUGUUAAGCAAGAUGUGAAAGCCCAGGGCUCAACCUUGGAAUUGCAUUUUGAACUGGCAAGCUAGAGUUUUGAAGAGGGUGGUAGAAUUUCCAGUGUAGCGGUGAAAUGCGUAGAUAUUGGAAGGAAUACCAGUGGCGAAGGCGGCCACCUGGUCAAAAACUGACGCUGAGGAGCGAAAGCGUGGGGAGCAAACAGGAUUAGAUACCCUGGUAGUCCACGCCGUAAACGAUGUCAACUAGUUGUUCGUGUCUUUGAGACGUGAGUAACGCAGCUAACGCACUAAGUUGACCGCCUGGGGAGUACGGCCGCAAGGUUAAAACUCAAAUGAAUUGACGGGGGCCCGCACAAGCGGUGGAGCAUGUGGUUUAAUUCGAUGCAACGCGAAGAACCUUACCAUCCCUUGACAUCCAGAGAA